CGAGCGGCGGACGGGUGAGUAAUGCCUGGGAAAUUGCCCUGAUGUGGGGGAUAACCAUUGGAAACGAUGGCUAAUACCGCAUAAUAGCUUCGGCUCAAAGAGGGGGACCUUCGGGCCUCUCGCGUCAGGAUAUGCCCAGGUGGGAUUAGCUAGUUGGUGAGGUAAUGGCUCACCAAGGCGACGAUCCCUAGCUGGUCUGAGAGGAUGAUCAGCCACACUGGAACUGAGACACGGUCCAGACUCCUACGGGAGGCAGCAGUGGGGAAUAUUGCACAAUGGGCGCAAGCCUGAUGCAGCCAUGCCGCGUGUAUGAAGAAGGCCUUCGGGUUGUAAAGUACUUUCAGCAGUGAGGAAGGCGGAGUCGUUAAUAGCGGGCUCGUUUGACGUUAGCUGCAGAAGAAGCACCGGCUAACUCCGUGCCAGCAGCCGCGGUAAUACGGAGGGUGCGAGCGUUAAUCGGAAUUACUGGGCGUAAAGCGCAUGCAGGUGGUUUGUUAAGUCAGAUGUGAAAGCCCGGGGCUCAACCUCGGAAUUGCAUUUGAAACUGGCAGACUAGAGUACUGUAGAGGGGGGUAGAAUUUCAGGUGUAACGGUGAAAUGCGUAGAGAUCUGAAGGAAUACCGGUGGCGAAGGCGGCCCCCUGGACAGAUACUGACACUCAGAUGCGAAAGCGUGGGGAGCAAACAGGAUUAGAUACCCUGGUAGUCCACGCCGUAAACGAUGUCUACUUGGAAGGUUGUGGCCUUGAGCCGUGGCUUUCGGAGCUAACGCGUUAAGUAGACCGCCUGGGGAGUACGGUCGCAAGAUUAAAACUCAAAUGAAUUGACGGGGGCCCGCACAAGCGGUGGAGCAUGUGGUUUAAUUCGAUGCAACGCGAAGAACCUUACCUACUCUUGACAUCCAGAGAACUUUUCAGAGAUGAAUUGGUGCCUUCGGGAACUCUGAGACAGGUGCUGCAUGGCUGUCGUCAGCUCGUGUUGUGAAAUGUUUGG
rnacentral:rRNA from 1 species